AAAUGAAUUGACGGGGGCCCGCACAAGCGGAGGAACAUGUGGUUUAAUUCGAUGAUACGCGAGGAACCUUACCUGGGCUCAAACGCAUUCGGAAGUGCGCUGAAAGGCGUAUGCCAGCGAUGGCCGUUUGCGAGGUGCUGCAUGGUUGUCGUCAGCUCGUGCCGUGAGGUGUCGGGUUAAGUCCCAUAACGAGCGCAACCCCUACUGCUAGUUGCCAGCGCGUAAAGGCGGGGACUCUAGCGGAACUGCCGGCGUAAGCCGUGAGGAAGGUGGGGAUGACGUCAAAUCAGCACGGCCCUUACGUCCAGGGCUACACACGUGUUACAAUGGCCAGUACAGAGGGCAGCCACCCCGCGAGGGGGCGCUAAUCCCGAAAGCUGGUCCCAGUUCGGAUCGGAGUCUGCAACCCGACUCCGUGAAGCUGGAUUCGCUAGUAAUCGCGCAUCAGCCACGGCGCGGUGAAUACGUUCCCGGGCCUUGUACACACCGCCCGU
rnacentral:rRNA from 1 species